rnacentral:rRNA from 1 species
ACCAACAGGGAUUGCCCUAGUAACGGCGAGUGAAGCGGCAACAGCUCAAAUUUGAAAUCUGGCUCUUUUAGAGUCCGAGUUGUAAUUUGCAGAGGGCGCUUUGGCUUUGGCAGCGGUCCAAGUUCCUUGGAACAGGACGUCACAGAGGGUGAGAAUCCCGUACGUGGUCGCUAGCUAUUGCCGUGUAAAGCCCCUUCGACGAGUCGAGUUGUUUGGGAAUGCAGCUCUAAAUGGGAGGUAAAUUUCUUCUAAAGCUAAAUAUUGGCCAGAGACCGAUAGCGCACAAGUAGAGUGAUCGAAAGAUGAAAAGCACUUUGGAAAGAGAGUCAAACAGCACGUGAAAUUGUUGAAAGGGAAGCGCUUGCAGCCAGACUUGCUUGCAGUUGCUCAUCCGGGCUUUUGCCCGGUGCACUCUUCUGCAGGCAGGCCAGCAUCAGUUUGGGCGGUGGGAUAAAGGUCUCUGACACGUUCCUUCCUUCGGGUUGGCCAUAUAGGGGAGACGUCAUACCACCAGCCUGGACUGAGGUCCGCGCAUCUGCUAGGAUGCUGGCGUAAUGGCUGUAAGCGGCCCGUCUUGAAACACGGACCAAGGAGUCUAACAUCCAUGCGAGUGUUUGGGUGUCAAGCCCGAGCGCGUAAUGAAAGUGAACGGAGGUGGGAACCCGCAAGGGUGCACCAUCGACCGAUCCUGAAGUUUACGGAAGGAUUUGAGUAAGAGCAUGGCUGUUGGGACCCGAAAGAUGGUGAACUAUGCUUGAAUAGGGUGAAGCCAGAGGAAACUCUGGUGGAGGCUCGCAGCGGUUCUGACGUGCAAAUCGAUCGUCAAAUUUGGGCAUAGGGGCGAAAGACUAAUCG